GGACCGAUAGCUCAGCGGUAGAGGUAUGAUAAUCAAUCAAUCUUACGUUUAACGCAUUCAUGCAACUAACAAUUCAUUAGCGUAGGAUUGCAGUCUGUUCAACAAUCCCGAGGUCGCGUGUUCGAUUCACGCUCGGUCCU